GUAACAAGUCUCCGUAGGUGAACCUGCGGAGGGAUCAUUGAAUCUAUCGUAUUGUAUACCCGCUAACCCAGACGUUGUGUUCCCUCGGUGCGGGCCCCUUUGUGGGACCGCCCGAGCGCUUGUUCCUGGCCCAGCCACUGGCCGACCCGUUUGCGGUCGGUGAAGCCUGGGCAAAGGUCUUGCGGUGUGGGACCCUGCCUCUCCCCAGGGAGAGGGGGGCUGGCCUUCACGGCUGGCCUCGCCCGCUGGACAAAAUACCCACUCUAACCACACACCAAACAAAGCUGAAGCUUGAGGAAGCCUCACGGCCGACUCACAAACCUAGACAACUCUCAACAACGGAUAUCUUGGCUCCCGCAACGAUGAAGAACGCAGCGAAAUGCGAUACUUAAUGUGAAUUGCAGAAUUCCGUGAAUCAUCGAGUCUUUGAACGCAUAUUGCGCCCGAGGCUUCGGUCAAGGGCAUGUCUGCCUCAGCGUCGGUUGACCCCUCUCGUCCAAUUCCCUCGUGGAAGCAGACGGACCUGGCAGUCCCGCUGGCGACAGCGGGUCUGCUGCAGAACAGACGACGAGCCAGCCGCAGCGCCCGCUCGAUUGGUAGGUUUUCUCCGGAAGACAUGCCGUCGAGUAGCCUGGGGACCAACUGCUCGUCCUACCAACGAAGGGGGAGCGCGCAAGCCAUCCCCCUGACUCUCAUUU
rnacentral:misc_RNA from 1 species